GUGAGACUCCCUAUUUUUCUGGGACUGACUGAGACGAUUCCAUGGAGAUCCCAGAUGGUGGAGUUUCGUCUCUGCAGAACUAGGCCACCACCACUGUCUCCAUUACACACUGAAGUGCCAUUGCUCCAGCCAGCGCAGAAGACAUUCAAAAAUUCAUCUGAUCCAUCACGACAUUGGCGAGAUCCAUCGCAAAGUCUCGAGAUGGGGAUACAUUGCCCCCCACUCUCGCAAGAGAAUUCAUCCGAUCUGUUGAAAAUUAUCCUCCCGGGUAAACUGAAGGCAUUCGUCCCCCUGACAAUUCAUAGGGGCACAUUGGGAAGCCUCUUCGUCGCUUCCGUCGACACAAUCGUUCACUCCAUCACACAUCACUUCCCGGUGAACGCAUCCUCCGUAAUUACAUUGAAAGGAAUGUCCUGGACAUGGAAAGUCCCUACACAGAGCUUCGCUCUCAUCGCUACCAUCAGCACAGUCCAAGUAACCUUGACCGUUAUUUUUUAAAUUAUUUAUAACUCAUAUAAAGUUCAUUAAUGUUGCUGUCGUGGUAAAAAAUAAUUAUUUCACGAAAACGAAGCUGAUAAUUUAUUUAAUUUUUUGUGAAUAUGACGAAUCCUUUUCAUGAAUUAAAAUAAAUUGAGAAUAUAUAAAACAAAAAUAAAAAUAAAAAAAAUAUAUAAAAAAAUAUAAGAAAAUUUUGAAAUAUAUAAAAAAAUAUAAAAUAAAACAAAAAAAUUGAAAAAAUCAAAUCAAUAUUUUGGCUUAUGA